rnacentral:rRNA from 1 species
GGGCCCGCAGCGUAAGUGGCGGUAGCCUGCGGAUUAAUUCGAUGCAACGCGAAGCCAACCUUACCUGGGUUUGCCAUGCAGCCGCGGUAAGACUCGUAGAGGUGUGAGCGUCCUGUCCGGAUUUAUUGGGCGGUCACAGAGCUGGUAGGCAUGGCUGUCGUCAGCGUCGUGUCGUGAGAUGUUGGGUUAAGUCCCUCAACUAGCGCAAGCCUGCGUUCGAUACGUUGCCAGCGCGUUAUGAGUUCGGGGACUCAUGGGAGACUGCCGGGUUCAACUCGGUGUAGCGGUGGGGAUGACGUCAAGUCAUCAUGCCCCUUAUGUCCAGGGCUUCACGCGUGGCUACAAUGGCGGGUACUCUGGGCUGCGAUACCGUGAGGUGGAGCGAAUCCCAAAAAGCCGGUCUCAGUUCGGAUCGGGGUCUGCAACUCGACCCCGUGAAGUCGGAGUCGCUAGUAAUCGCAGAUCAGCAACGUGCGGUGAAUACGUUCCCGGGCCUUGUACACACCGCCCGUCACGUCACGAAAGUCGGCCAACACCCGAAGCCGGUGGCCCCCCCCUUGGGGAGGGAGCCGGUGAAGGGGAGGUCGUGCUCGAGUAGUA